GGGAGAGAGGGAGGAAGGGAGAAAGGAAAGAAGGAAGGAAGGAAAAAAGGAAGGGAAAGAGGAAGGGAUAGAGGAAGGAAGGAAAGAAGGAAGGAAGGGCAAUUGGUACUAACUUCUUGUAGUGCCCAGGCACUCUUCCCCUAGUGGGCAGGGCAGAGAGACUGUGAAAGGUGGAGAUGAAGGAGAGUCAUCAUUUCACUCUUGAGAAAGGACGGAGCAGUCUGUGUGGAAGAGAUGAGAUCUGGGAUAAAUUGGAAAAGGUGUCAAAAAAUUAGGAGGGAAGAAAUAUUUCCAGCAAGUCUGCUACCACACUCCUCAAAUUCAACUAAGAGUGGUGAUUUAAUAUGGUCACAGGAUGGCUGCCUCAGCUCCAAACAGCAACAUCUGAAGGAGAAAGCUGCAGGCCCCGACUGGACGGCUUUGGCUAAGGAACCAACGCAGGUGGAGAAGGAGGCUGACGAUGGAGCCCAGGCACUCCAGCCUUGAAGGAGGAGAACCCGACCAACGAGAAACACAGCAGAGAGGGAAUGGUCAACCCCAGAGCACCGGCCACUUUGGGAAAAUGGACAUCUCCUCUCCUCUGGCUGAAGGAAAGUAAGAAGACAUGGUGUUGCCCCAGGCUGUGUAGCCCACAACAAUUUUCCAUCCAAAUGCAUGAGCCCGGGUUCCCGAUGAAGACUUGGCUUCUCCUGAGCCCGGGGGUCCUGGCUGCUCUGGUGCCAACCCCUGGGUGUCUUCGAGCUGCAGAGGGCUUGCCACGUGCAUCCUCCUCCCUCUGCCUGAGCCAUGAAGACCAGGCUGGACUAUGUUCCACAAAGACUUUUUCCCCUCAGGGGUCUCCUCCCAACAACACUUAACCAAGCUUUGUAUUCAACAAGGAACACAUUCCGCCUCCACCAAACCUCAUUGAAAACACAGAGGUGCAUGGAUAACCAUGGCCAAAUCAUAACUGGUAUGCGUGCUCAUGGUUUUCUUUGAAAAUCUAACUGUCUUUUAAAAAUCUUUCCCACAUGAAGAGCCACAAUAAAUGACAAAAACAAAUUAUAAGUUUAUAAGGAAAGUAUGCUAGUAAGUGUAAGCAAAUUAAAAGGAUGUCCCAUAGGGUGGUAACAACUGAUUCAGUGUUGUCAAAUGUUUUGGAUCCC
rnacentral:lncRNA from 1 species